GCAGAUGGCUGGAUGGCCGCCGCUGCGUUCGCGCAGGGGAGGAAAGUCCGGGCUCCAUGGAAACACGGUGCCGGUUAAUGGCCGGCGAGGGCGACCUCAGGGAAAGUGCCACAGAAAGCAAACCGCCAU
rnacentral:RNase_P_RNA from 1 species